AACUGCUCAAACGUGGCUACCGAGGAGCCACCUGUCACUGCUCAAGAUAUGAACACUCAUGUGAAGUGUACAAACACAGAGGCAACACAUCAGGACAUUAUCACAUAGACGUGGACGGUAGUGGACCAAUCAAACCCCAGCUCAUCUACUGUAACAUGACAGAGGACAUGGCAUGGAUGGUGAUCCAGCACAAUAACACCGAACUGACCAGAGUGCAUUCGUCCCCGGAGAGAAACCAACAUGUAUCACACUUUGACUAUGCUUCUGAAGAGGAGCAGUUAGCAGCAAUCUCCAGCCAAUCAGAGCACUGCGAGCAGGAGCUGUCGUACCACUGCAGGAAGUCCCGCCUCCUCAACA